rnacentral:tRNA from 1 species
GGGGUUGUGGCUCGGUGGUAGAGCACUCGCCUCGCACGCAUGAGACCCUGGGUUCGAUUCUCAGCACCA